GACGAACCGUGCGAACGUUGUUCGGAAUCACUGGGCUUAAAGGGCGCGUAGGCGGGUCACCAAGACCGGGGUGAAAUCUUUCGGCUCAACCGGAAAAGUGACUUGGAUACUGGUGGUCUUGAGCGAGGUAGGGGCAGCUGGAACUUCCGGUGGAGCGGUGAAAUGCGUUGAUAUCGGAAGGAACUCCGGUUGCGAAAGCGAGCUGCUGGACCUUUUCUGACGCUGAGGCGCGAAAGCUAGGGGAGCAAACGGG
rnacentral:rRNA from 1 species